AAAGGGAGCGCAGGCGGAGCGUUAAGUCCGUGGUGAAAGCCCUCAGCUCAACUGAGGAACUGCCAUGGAUACUAUCGUUCUUGAAUGUCGUUGAGGUUUGCGGAAUGGGUCAUGUAGCGGUGAAAUGCUUAGAUAUGACCCGGAACACCAAUUGCGAAGGCAGCAGGCUAAACGAAAAUUGACGCUGAGGCUCGAAAGCGUGGGGAUCAAACAGGAUUAGAUACCCGUGU
rnacentral:rRNA from 1 species